UACGAAGGGGGCUAGCGUUGCUCGGAAUUACUGGGCGUAAAGCGCACGUAGGCGGAUUGUUAAGUCGGGGGUGAAAUCCUGGAGCUCAACUCCAGAACUGCCUUCGAAACUGGCGAUCUUGAGUCCGGGAGAGGUGAGUGGAACUGCGAGUGUAGAGGUGAAAUUCGUAGAUAUUCGCAAGAACACCAGUGGCGAAGGCGGCUCACUGGCCCGGUACUGACGCUGAGGUGCGAAAACGUGGGGAGCAAACAGG
rnacentral:rRNA from 1 species